GUGCUCGCUUUGACAGGACAUACACUAAAACGGGACCAAUACAGAAAGGACUAGCAUGGUCCGUGUGCAGGAUGACAUACCAAUUCGUGAGGUGUUCCAUAUUUAA